CUGGCCUACGGGGCGCAGCAGUGGGGAAUAUUGGGCAAUGGGCGCAAGCCUGACCCAGCAACGCCGCGUGAAGGAAGAAGGCUUUCGGGUUGUAAACUUCUUUUAUCAGGGACGAAGCAAGUGACGGUACCUGAUGAAUAAGCCACGGCUAACUACGUGCCAGCAGCCGCGGUAAUACGUAGGUGGCAAGCGUUAUCCGGAUUUACUGGGUGUAAAGGGCGUGUAGGCGGGGGUGCAAGUCUGAUUUGAAAACUAU
rnacentral:rRNA from 1 species